GCAAGUCGAACGAACUUCCGUUAAUUGAUUAUGACGUACUUGUACUGAUUGAGAUUUUAACACGAAGUGAGUGGCGAACGGGUGAGUAACACGUGGGUAACCUGCCCAGAAGUAGGGGAUAACACCUGGAAACAGAUGCUAAUACCGUAUAACAGAGAAAACCGCAUGGUUUUCUUUUAAAAGAUGGCUCUGCUAUCACUUCUGGAUGGACCCGCGGCGUAUUAGCUAGUUGGUGAGGUAAAGGCUCACCAAGGCAGUGAUACGUAGCCGACCUGAGAGGGUAAUCGGCCACAUUGGGACUGAGACACGGCCCAGACUCCUACGGGAGGCAGCAGUAGGGAAUCUUCCACAAUGGACGCAAGUCUGAUGGAGCAACGCCGCGUGAGUGAAGAAGGGUUUCGGCUCGUAAAGCUCUGUUGUUAAAGAAGAACGUGGGUAAGAGUAACUGUUUACCCAGUGACGGUAUUUAACCAGAAAGCCACGGCUAACUACGUGCCAGCAGCCGCGGUAAUACGUAGGUGGCAAGCGUUAUCCGGAUUUAUUGGGCGUAAAGCGAGCGCAGGCGGUCUUUUAAGUCUAAUGUGAAAGCCUUCGGCUCAACCGAAGAAGUGCAUUGGAAACUGGGAGACUUGAGUGCAGAAGAGGACAGUGGAACUCCAUGUGUAGCGGUGAAAUGCGUAGAUAUAUGGAAGAACACCAGUGGCGAAGGCGGCUGUCUGGUCUGCAACUGACGCUGAGGCUCGAAAGCAUGGGUAGCGAACAGGAUUAGAUACCCUGGUAGUCCAUGCCGUAAACGAUGAUUACUAAGUGUUGGAGGGUUUCCGCCCUUCAGUGCUGCAGCUAACGCAUUAAGUAAUCCGCCUGGGGAGUACGACCGCAAGGUGA
rnacentral:rRNA from 1 species